GAUGAUGUCACUGAAAACUGUCAUGGCCUAUGUGCUGAACUCUUUCCUUACAUUGAAAAGAUUCAAGUUUGCACUUUCCAGGACCUUUUCUUCUUGAGAAAAAGAGUAAAAGUCAUGACCUCUCAGGAAAAAAACUGUGCCCUUCCCAACACUUGGCUUUUGGAGUUAAGAAAUGAAUGAUAUAAACCUUUUGAUAAGAAAAGGUCCUUUCCGCGGCUUGUAGCUUCUGGACCCUUUCCGUGAACGGAGGCUCUCCUCGGCUCCAGCGAUGGUGAGGUUUUUGUCCCAGGUUUCAGCAGCAAAUAUCCCACGUGCCCUUGCCAGCAAGAAAACUCGCAGGGACAUACGGAUCCUUGCUACAGCUAAACUUUUUUUGAAUCUUACGGAGAGGCGCUGUGCACCAGCAUGGCACGGCUUAUAUACACCCCAGCAUGGCGCAUCCACACCUGAUUGGUUGCUUACCUACAAUCUCACUAGGCACGCCCCGCAGUGGUCAAAGACCUGGCACGAAGGCAUUCUUGCACAUGUGCACACAGUUAACUUCCUGAAAGGAAGUCGGCUGGCGCAAUGGAGGCCAGUGCCAUCUUGUAAUGGCGAAAGCUAUCCUGGCCUUCCACAUGGGGCUCAGUGGAAGCCAGCGCCAUCUAGUGGUGGCAAUUAUUAUAGCGGUCCUCUACACCUGAGUAAAACUGCUUGAAGAAGAUCUUCACUAUUCGUGUCUUCCUUGUUAGUCGAGGUUGGCCGCAGCAAGUGGUGGUCUGUACAGGGACCUCCUGAAAUCAGAACUUCUUGCAGUCAGGGCAGCGCUGGAAAGUUCCCAAGGAAUGUGGGACCAUAAGGACUGUGGGAAAUAAGUGGCUAUAAAUUCUCAGGGUAGUUAACAAGAAAGUUCUCGGUAGCAGCAAACCGAAAUUAGGAAGAUGCUUGGAGAAUUAAGCCAGCAUAGAAAGUUUUUGUCAUGGGGAUCUCACAGUCUCAUGCAAUUUUUCUGGCUCUUCAAGAGCUAUUUGAGCAUAAGAAACUAAAAAUAAAAAGGAGUGCCAUAGGGAGAUUUUUGAAUGAAUGUGAAGUCAUUGCCCCUGGUUCAUAGUCUCUGGUAAUCUUACUGUGGCAAGUUGGGAAAAAGUAGGGAAAGACCUUGAUUUUGCCUGGGAACAGGGGACUCUCAGACCUGGGAUCCAUCCACUGUGGUGCUUAGCAAGUAGUUGCCUUGACGAUCAAAAAGGUUGUCAGACAACUAUAGAGAAGGGGCAAGGUGCCCUAGAAAUGCUUCAAAUGAAGAGGUCAGAAAAGCAGGGAAGCACAAAGGAGACAGACUCGUUAAAGACAGAUACAGAGGAAGAAACAGACAAAACAGAUUCAGAAGAAGAGUUACAAGAGUUGACAGAUCAAAUGUGGAAACAGUCUCUAAGGAAUAGAGAGAAGAAGAAAAGAAAAAAGCCUAAAAUGGCGGAGUAACUUCCUGGGCAGUUCUCCUCCGCUUCUCCUCCCUAAAAUGUUGUAGAAGGAGGAAGUAGAGUUUUGGGUAGUACAUUCUGCCCAGAAGUCUGGAAGCCAGUCCACACAGAACUGCAUCUAUCCUAUCCUGUUUAUGCCGAUGCUAAUCAACAAAGGUAUCAUGAGCCUUUAGACUUUAAGGUGAUCAAGACCCUGAUGGAAUCAGUCGGGACAUAUGGCAUUAUGGCCUCAUUUACCAUAGCUCAGGUUGAGGUCUUACACAGAUUUUGCAUGACUUCUAGUCAUUAGACUAACCUUGCUUGGGCCUGUCUUUGUCUGGGACAGUAUUUGGACUGGAGAGCUUUUCUUAUUGAGUUUGUCAAAGAACAGGCUGCCGCUAACUUAGAAGUGGGGGGUGGCCAAGCUGCCUGGGAUAGAUAUAUGCUGCUGGGUUAGAAAUGCUUUGCCAAUGCUCAGACAGUGUAUCCAGUACAGGUUUACCAGCAGAUUAAUGAAGUUGAAACCAAGGCAUGGAAAUCCUUAAAUAAUAAGGGAGAAGUGAAUGGAAACCUCAUCAAGAUCCUUCAAGGACAUAUGGAGCCAUUCUCUGACUUUGUAGCCUAAUUAGUGGUAGCAGCAGGGAGAGUCUUUGGCGACCCCAAUAUGAUUAUGCCCUUAAUUAAACACUUGGCCUAUGAGCUUUGCACAAAGGAAUGUCGAGCUGCUAUCAUUCCUUACAAGAAUAAGGGACUUGGAGCUUGGAUGAACGUCUGUAGAGAAAUAGGGGGACCUUUGAUUAAUGUUGGACUUGCGGCUGCUGUUACGCAGAUGAAUCAGAGAAAAGGAGGAAGCUCAGGAGCAUAUGUUAAGUGUGAUCAACAGGGGCACCUAAAAAGGCAAUUACAGAAAGGAGAAGUCUAUUCAGUACAGUAAGUGGCCAAUGCCCAAGGCAACAAGGGCUGUGUCCCAAUUGCAAAAAUGCGAACUAUUGGGCUCUUGAGUGCCACUCGGUAAAAGAAAUCAAUGUGCAGCCUCUUAGCUUGGGUUUUGGUGGAGCAUGUCCAAAAAAUGGACAGUGGUGCCCAUUACCCCAGGUCCCACAAAUAUAUGGGCCAGUCGAGAAUCAGGAUGUAGAAUAGAGUCACAAGAGAUGGCCGUCCCUUCGAAAUCUGAGGGGCCAAGGAGAGCCACUAAGGGCUCCAUAGGACUGGACAUCUGCUCCACCACCA